CUACGAAAAUGUAAACAAAUGAAAAUUCAGUAUCAAUAAUGCAAAUGAAGAUAAAGAAGAAACCAAGGAUUACGUUGCAACAAUAAAAGUGGAAGUGAAAGCCCCGAGUAGGAAGCCAGCAACGCCGACAUAUUUAUUGUGGAGUGAAUAGGUACAAAUUGAAGUAAAAAAUUACACUCCUCAACAAGACUUUGUUCCUGGCAAUCAAAUCGCUCUAUUCUGAUGGCUUAUAUCCUCAUUUUAAACCUUGUAGGAAUAAGAAGGGGCGACUCCAGCGAUGUCGCAGAAGUCUGAAAAGCUUCGCUUUGCAACCUAUCCGACAUGCUUCACUUGACGAGAUGGGGAUAUACAAGUCGAGAGUUGUUAUAAAGUUGAGGAAUCUCUUUACUUGGUGGUCAUUUAUAGCCAAGCCAAAUACAAAUACAAGUUGAAUUAAUUGCAGCGUGUGAAAGCAGUAGCACAUUCACGUAAUGUGCCACCAUCUUUGCAAUGCAAAGCACUUCUUUGAGCCAGCUACGGAUAGGCGAAAGAUCGCAAUGUAUGCAAGUCCUUCCUGAUCAUGUGAACAAUAGUUAAUUUAAUCUACAGUCAGUUUUUCAAGACAGUACCUACCACCGAGGAUUGGACAAUUGAUCUGAUUCACUAUGUUCUUUUUUGCAGAAAUGCACAUUUGAAUACCUUCCUUUUACAUUUUUUGGCGAACUCUGUGAUGUAGUUGGUCUCUGGAAUUCAAUUGAAAUACCUUCCUUCAUUCAUGAUUUAUUGCUUUCAAUGCGUCAAUAUCUUUAAUUCAAUUCUGCCUCUUGUUACCAACGAAGAAGGAGACAAGUUCGGAAAAUCUGCUGGCGAUGGUAUUUGGCUGGACGAAGAAAAAACGUCGCCUUUUUCUCUUUAUCAAUUCUUUUUGAAAAUGCCAGAUUCUGAAGUCGAGAAUCUUCUCAAGUUGUUCACGUUGUUCAAGUUGUUUUAUCCCACUGGAAGAAAUUGCAUUUCUCAUUUAACAACACAAAAAAUCACAAACGAUUCUAGCUGAAGAUGUGACGCUUCUAGUCCAUUGAGAGGCGGGUCUAAAACAAGCCGAAAAAGUCACAGAAGCGCUCUACAAGGCAAAUUUUGAAGGACUAGGUGAACUGAAUUACAAUUAAAUCCUAUCGUUAAGAUUUUUCCAGAGCCUGGACUAUCCAAUCUUGAUCUGGCACUAAAAGCUUAAUGAUUUACAACAGAGACUGAUACGAUGAGAAUCAUCACAGCUGGAGGGUUCUAUAUCAAGUAAUAGCGAACUCAAAACUUCGCACUAACAUCACACUAACUCAUCAGCACUAACAUCACAUACCAUUUCUAUCUAUUAGUUCAAAAUGUUAAAUGUCUCCUUUUUGUUGGCAAUGAUGAGCAUAUG